GGACUACCCGGGUAUCUAAUCCUGUUCGCUCCCCACGCUUUCGCUCCUCAGCGUCAGGUAAGGCCCAGAGAACCGCCUUCGCCACCGGUGUUCCUCCCGAUAUCUGCGCAUUUCACCGCUACACCGGGAAUUCCAUUCUCCCCUACCUACCUCUAGUCUGCCCGUAUCCACCGCAAGCCACGAGGUUAAGCCUCGGGUUUUCACGGCAGACGUGACAGACCGCCUACGAGCUCUUUACGCCCAAUAAUUCCGGACAACGCUUGCGCCCUACGUAUUACCGCGGCUGCUGGCAC
rnacentral:rRNA from 1 species